rnacentral:rRNA from 1 species
UGAGUAACACGUAUCCAACCUGCCGUCUACUCUUGGACAGCCUUCUGAAAGGAAGAUUAAUACAAGAUGGCAUCAUGAGUUCACAUGUCCGCAUGAUUAAAGGUAUUUUCCGGUAGACGAUGGGGAUGCGUUCCAUUAGAUAGUAGGCGGGGUAACGGCCCACCUAGUCAACGAUGGAUAGGGGUUCUGAGAGGAAGGUCCCCCACAUUGGAACUGAGACACGGUCCAA